rnacentral:rRNA from 1 species
GACGAACGCUGGCGGCGUGCUUAACACAUGCAAGUCGAACGAAGAGCGAUGGAAGCUUGCUUCUAUCAAUCUUAGUGGCGAACGGGUGAGUAACGCGUAAUCAACCUGCCCUUCAGAGGGGGACAACAGUUGGAAACGACUGCUAAUACCGCAUACGAUCUAAUCUCGGCAUCGAGGAUAGAUGAAAGGUGGCCUCUACAUGUAAGCUAUCACUGAAGGAGGGGAUUGCGUCUGAUUAGCUAGUUGGAGGGGUAACGGCCCAACAAGGCGAUGAUCAGUAGCCGGUCUGAGAGGAUGAACGGCCACAUUGGGACGGAGACACGGCCCAGACGCAUACGGAAGGCAGCAGUGGGGAACCUUCCGCAAUGGACGAAAGUCUGACGGAGCAACGCCGCGUGAGUGAUGACGGCCUUCGGGUUGUAAAGCUCUGUUAAUCGGGACGAAAGGCCUUCUUGCGAAUAGUGAGAAGGAUUGACGGUACCGGAAUAGAAAGCCACGGCUAACUACGUG